UUAAUGUGUGAAGUGUGAUAGGGGUUCUUUUGCUGUUUCAAGCUGUUCAUCCAUUUAUCCCCAGAUGUAGAUCCUGGAAUCACGGAGUGGCUGAGGUUGGAAAGGACCACUGGAGCCCUCCUGUCCAAGCUGGGUGCUGUCGAGCAUGCUACUCAGGAGGACAUCCAGAUGGUUCUGGAAUAUCUUCAGAAAUGUAAGCUUCACAACCCCUCAGGGGAACCUGUGGUUCCUUCUGCUCUCCAAGACAGUGGAACUCUUAGGAAUUCUGUGGAACAAGCUUUCUUCUACAUCAGCUCUUAACUUUGGUUCCUGGCACGCUAUCCACCUGCUGAGGCUCAGGCCACUGAAGUGCUGCACACAAAGCAGAUGUCCUGGGGAGCAAGUUUACAGCCUGCAAGUGACUGGAAACUCUUCUGAGGUACGUCGGCAGUUCCACUGAGCAGUACUGAGAGCAGCCCUUUGUUAUUCCUCUGCCUUCUGCAUCUGCUUUCUCUUUGGGCCUGUCACAGACACAAGUGUGGAAUGCAGGGGGCAGGGGGUUGUCUUUUUAGCAGUCUAGUGGCAAACAGGAGGUUAAAGGCUUUUUUGUGCAUUUUUGUGCUUCUCAGAAGUGAAAUGGAGAACCUAAAUUCCUGUCUGAUGCACUUGAUGUGCAGAAAUGUCACAGUCCUUGGUCCUGUGCGUCCCUUUAAGGUGCUAAUCAUCAGCAAUUAUCUUUUUUUAAUAUAUAUAUUUUUUUUGUAAAGACGUCUGUUACACUUUUAGGUUACUAAAUAUUACCUGCAUCACCUGAGGCUUGUCUUUCAUGAAAAUACAGUUUGGUUUGUCAAAUUCAAGCUACAGUUUAUUCCAUGUUUCUUGCAAGUGAUUUGUCUAGGCAUGUAUUGCUCUGAUCUAGUGCAGUGCUGUGUUUUAUGAUACCUCAUGCUAAUAUAUUACAUUGCAGUCACAGUUAGUAUUUAAAGCAAAAAUUGUUUUUGUUGUUACUGUUCUAAAAUUUGUGGGUUUGUUUCCAAAAUGCAGUCAUUUGAACCUUUAUUGAGGUGUCUCGGGAAACUGUAUUGCAGGUUAUUUCAUGUACGUGGUCAGGAAACUCAGUAAUUCACUGUAUCUAUUCAUGUGAAUCUGCUGACAGAGUUUGGGGGUGAUUGACAGAAGAAAAUAGAUGACAUUUUGGUUUUUUGUUUCUAAUUUUAUGAAAAUCCCAAGUUUCUAUGAAAAUAUUUUUCUGAGAUAAAUGGCUGGUAAUGACAGGAAGAAGGAAAAAACUCCAAUCAAGAUCCAGUGUGAUUCAGGAGAUCUGUUACUAUUCUAGAUCCCUUGGAGAAAUGGAAUCAUUAAAUAUGUUUUAACUCAAACUCGGAAUUAUAAUCCUUUUCCCCAUACUUUUAUGACAUCUCUUAAGAAGCAGUAGUUUAAAUCCAGUUUAAUAAUUGUGACAUUAAUUUAAUCAGUAAGGAGAGACCUCACAAAAUUUACCCAUGGAAUUGCAACUGAAGCUUUGAGAGAUGUUUGCAUUGUGAACCAACACAAGUUGCAAAUUGUGACUAAGGUAUUUUGGUAUUUCAUUUAAAGCAGCUACCUCAGAGAUCAAUAUCAGCACGGCUCCAAGAAUCGUGGAGUUUGUCAGGUAGGUUUUGUGGGCUAUACUGAGUCUCAUUGUCUGGUGCUCUGCAAUCCACUUAUUAGCUGGUUUAAUUGGCUAAAGCAGCACCCAGCACAUCUGCUAGAGCUCUGAGGUGGAUUUUAAAGCAAAAUGUAGCCAUAGCUGGAGCUAGGUCAUGUCAUCACCCCUUCAGGAUCACAGCACUUUCUUCUCCUUCCUGUAUUUCAAGGUUACAUUAAUUACACAAACUGAUUGAAUAAAACUUUCAUGGGUUAAUUUUUGGAGAUUUGU
ensembl:lncRNA